GAUGAACGCUAGCGACAGGCUUAACACAUGCAAGUCGAGGGGCAGCGGAGAGGAAAGCUUGCUUUUCUCUGCCGGCGACCGGCGCACGGGUGAGUAACACGUAUGCAACCUACCCCUGGCAGGGGGAUAACCCGGAGAAAUCCGGACUAAUACCGCGUAACACCGCGGGGAGACAUCUCCCGGCGGUCAAAGGAAGCGAUUCCGGCCAGGGAUGGGCAUGCGGCGCAUUAGGCAGUUGGCGGGUAACGGCCCACCAAACCGACGAUGCGUAGGGGUUCUGAGAGGAAGGUCCCCCANACUGGUACUGAGACACGGACCAGACUCCUACGGGAGGCAGCAGUGAGGAUAUUGGUCAAU
rnacentral:rRNA from 1 species